rnacentral:lncRNA from 1 species
GAUAAAAACAGUAAACACUUUACCAAGGUUAUAAUUUGAUAAAAACAGUGAAACUUCCCCCAGGUUAAAAUUUGAUAAAAACAGUAAAACAUCCCCAGGGUAAAAUUUGAUAAAACAGUAAAACAUCUGCCAGGUUAAAAUUUGAUAAAAACAGUAAAAACUGCCUCCAGAAUAAAGUUUGAUCCAAAAAAAAAACUUCCCCAAGGUUAAAAUUUGAUAAAAACAGUAAAUUAUCCCCCAGGGUAAAACUUGAUAAAACAGUAAAACAUCUGCCAGGUUAAAAUUUGAUAAAAACAGUAAAAACUGCCUCCAGAAUAAAAUUUGAUUAAAAAGUAAAACUUCCCCAAGGUUAAAAUUUAAUAAAAACAGUAAAAACUGCCACCAGA